rnacentral:rRNA from 1 species
GAUUAAACAAUCAAGAGCGCAGGGUGGAUGCCUUGGCACUAAGAGCCGAAGAAAGACGUGAUAAGCUGCGAAAAGCUUUGGGGAGCUGCAAAUAAGCAUUGAUCCAGAGAUAUCUGAAUGGGGAAACCCGGCUGGAAAGACUCCAGUCAUCCAUACGCCAAUACAUAACGUGUGGAAGGGAACCCGGUGAACUGAAACAUCUAAGUAGCCGGAGGAAGAGAAAGAAAAAUCGAUUUCCAAAGUAGCGGCGAGCGAAAUGGAAAGAGGGCAAACCGAGAUGCGUGCAUUUCGGGGUUCGGACCGCAUAAUUGAUUCAAGAGUUUUAGCAGAAUGGUUUUGGGAAAGCCAGCCAAAGAGAGUGAAAGCCUCGUAAGCGAAAAGAUAAUUGACAUGGCGGUAUCCAGAGUAGGACGAGACACGUGAAACCUUGUCUGAACGCGCGGGGACCACCCCGUAACCCUAAAUACUUCUUAGUGACCGAUAGCGCAUAGUACUGUGAAGGAAAGGUGAAAAGAACCCCG